UCCGGUGCUAUUGCAUACAGGACAAUGUGGUGUUAAGGCAUGUACCUGGGACUGCGAAUCUACCCGAAGUCCAACUCCGAUUGUGGCUUUGGAUAUUGCCCAAAGCGGGUGAGAGGCCCGUACGGGUAGAUUCUUGUUGUUAUGCAGUCCUCAGAUGUGCGUGCUUUCGAGUCGGAUUGCUUGAGAAUGCAGUCCAAAGUGGGUGGUAAACUCCAUCCAAGGCUAAAUACUGGCACGAGUCCGAUAGUAGACAAGUACCGUGAGGGAAAGUUGAAAAGUACUCUGAAGAGAGAGUAAAUAGCACGUGAAGCCGGUUGCAGGGAAGCUGGUGGAGUCAAGCUUCAUGCUUGAGAAAUUUGUGCAAGUAGUAUUUUGUUGAUUGUAUUCAUGGCCGAUCAACUUGGAAUAAGUUGGGCGCAUUCGUGUGCUUCAAGUCAUUCUGGGUAGUGUGUUUGUGCUGGUCAUGAUAAACUGCUGCUUGUACUCUAUUUCUUGUUGCAUAAAUCACGGUCUAUAGCCUUGUGUUGACGUGCUGUAUGAUUGUCUAACUGUGCUACGGCAAGCUUUCAGUUUGUCGGGUACAGGAUGGCAGGUUGAGGCUUCGGUCCUUGUGUCUGUUAGUCUCUUAUAGUGGUUUUGACCAGCUGAUAAUCAUGCAGUAUCGUGGCUAUAG
rnacentral:rRNA from 1 species